rnacentral:rRNA from 2 species
GUCUACGGCCAUACCACCCUGAACGCGCCCGAUCUCGUCUAAUCUCGGAAGCUAAGCAGGGUCGGGCUGGUUAGUACUUGGAUGGGAGACCGAAUGGAAGACAUUAUCUCAAGUCU